GAUGAACGCUAGCGAUAGGCUUAACACAUGCAAGUCGAGGGACCGGCGCACGGGUGCGUAACGCGUGUGCAACUUGCCUCAAAGAGGGGGAUAACCCGUCGAAAGACGGUCUAAUACCGCGUACUGUGAGAUAGGCAUGCGUCACAUUAGCUAGUUGGUGAGGUAACGGCUCCCCAAGGCAACGAUGGGUAGGGGAACUGAGAGGUUGCACGCCCACACGGGUACUGGGACACGGACCAGAGUCGUACGGGAGGAAGCGGUGAGGGAAGUUGGUAAAUGGGCUAGAGCCAGAACCAGCCAAGUCGCGUGAAGGAUGACUGUGUAUGGAGUGUAAACUUCUUUUGUAGGGGAAUAUGUACCCUACGAAGAAGCAUCGGCUAACUCCGUGCCAGCAGCCGCGGUAAUAC
rnacentral:rRNA from 1 species